ensembl:lncRNA
GCCUAGAAAAUCCCAUGGAUGGAGGAGCCUGGUAGGCUGCAGUCCAUGGGGUUGCUGUGAGUCGGACACGACUGAGCGACUUCACUUUCACUUUUCACUUUCACACACUGGAGAAGGAGAUGGCAACUCACUCCAGUGUUCUUGCCUGGAGAAUCCCAGGGACGGGGGAGCCUGUUGGGCUGCCAUCUAUGGGGUCGCACAGAGUUGGACACGACUGAAGUGACUUAGCAGCAGCAGCAGCAGCAGCUCCUGCUCUGGGCUCCCCUGGCACCUGGCAUUUACCCUUUUUCCAGCACUUCAGCACAAACUGGGUGACCAUUUCCAUUUCACUUUCCUGUCUCUAUUCCUGAAGUCAGAGACUGCAUGCUAUCCACAAUUUCUGACACAGAGGAAUUCAAUGACUAUUUGCUAAAAGAAAAGGAAAAAAAAAAAAAAUGGAGCUGGCCUUUUCUGAGUAGUGGAAACACAAACUUUACACUUUUCUGCCCCGCCCACCAUCAUCAUGGAAAAACUCAUCUCCUGGAGCCAACGAUGAGUGGUGUCCACCUUACUCCAUCCUCAUCCACCUUGUCUCCCAGGCCCAUCACUGGCACUCCAUUGGCCCAACCCAUCUACCAAGAACAAGCUUCAGGGCCAGCAGCAUCUGCACUGAAGAGGCACUCACUCUGCGCCAGGCACUAUCCUAUUACACACCUAAUGCAGAGGGACAGCACCAGCAUGGUAACUUCCACUUCUGCCCCACUGCAAGUGCUAGACCACCCCGAGGAGACAGUGGUGUUUCUGACCACCCCCAAGAAAUGUGUCACAUGUGCUGAGUACAAAGUACUAGUCCAGUCGGCCACCCAUGGGCAUCCUCUUUGCCAGGUGGUGCCAACCUUUCCCCUAGAUUCCUCCCCACUGACCAGUCCUUGGGACCGACACUGGUCCCCUCUGCACUCCAGGCUCUCAACCCAAGAGGGGCCACAUCCGCAACACAGUUGACCAGCCAGGAAAGAAAAAUCUCUGUAUUAGUUGACACUAGCUGCUAUGCAGAUAAAUAACUAAAUCUUAUGGACCAAACACAAUAAAAGUGUAUCUCUUGUUCACAGCACAGCCCAAAAGGGAGUUGGCUCCCUGCCAAUUCGUAAACCCAGGCUCCUUCUAUCUUGUGG